rnacentral:rRNA from 1 species
AACAUCUGAAGGGGAUUAAAGAUUUAUCGGUGAUGGAUGGGGAUGCGUCUGAUUAGCUUGUUGGCGGGGUAACGGCCCACCAAGGCUACGAUCAGUAGGGGUUCUGAGAGGAAGGUCCCCCACAUUGGAACUGAGACACGGUCCAAACUCCUACGGGAGGCAGCAGUGAGGAAUAUUGGUCAAUGGACGAGAGUCUGAACCAGCCAAGUAGCGUGCAGGAAGACGGCCCUAUGGGUUGUAAACUGCUUUUAUAAGGGAAUAAAGUGAGUCUCGUGAGACUUUUUGCAUGUACCUUAUGAAUAAGGACCGGCUAAUUCCGUGCCAGCAGCCGCGGUAAUACGGAAGGUCCGGGCGUUAUCCGGAUUUAUUGGGUUUAAAGGGAGCGUAGGCCGGAGAUUAAGCGUGUUGUGAAAUGUAGAUGCUCAACAUCUGCACUGCAGCGCGAACUGGUUUCCUUGAGUACGCACAAAGUGGGCGGAAUUCGUGGUGUAGCGGUGAAAUGCUUAGAUAUCACGAAGAACUCCGAUUGCGAAGGCAGCUCACUGGAGCGCAACUGACGCUGAAGCUCGAAAGUGCGGGUAUCGAACAGGAUUAGAUACCCUGGUAGUCCGCACGGUAAACGAUGGAUGCCCGCUGUUGGUCUGAAUAGGUCAGCGGCCAAGCGAAAGCAUUAAGCAUCCCACCUGGGGAGUA